rnacentral:rRNA from 1 species
GAUGAACGCUGGCGGCGUGCCUAAUACAUGCAAGUCGAGCGAACAGACGAGGAGCUUGCUCCUCUGACGUUAGCGGCGGACGGGUGAGUAACACGUGGAUAACCUACCUAUAAGACUGGGAUAACUUCGGGAAACCGGAGCUAAUACCGGAUAAUAUAUUGAACCGCAUGGUUCAAUAGUGAAAGACGGUUUUGCUGUCACUUAUAGAUGGAUCCGCGCCGCAUUAGCUAGUUGGUAAGGUAACGGCUUACCAAGGCAACGAUGCGUAGCCGACCUGAGAGGGUGAUCGGCCACACUGGAGCUGAGACACGGUCCAGACUCCUACGGGAGGCAGCAGUAGGGAAUCGUCCGCAAUGGGCGAGAGCCUGACGGAGCAACGCCGCGUGAGUGAUGAAGGUCUUCGGAUCGUAAAACUCUGUUAUUAGGGAAGAACAAAUGUGUAAGUAACUAUGCACGUCUUGACGGUACCUAAUCAGAAAGCCACGGCUAACUACGUG